ACCCUUCUCCAGUUCAUCAGCGUGAUGAUUGGGUUCUCACGCACGUGCUUGCGUGACAUGUGCCUCCCUCCAAACCUUGUUACAACGGGCACAUUAGUCAUCCGACG